UACGAAGGGGGCUAGCGUUGCCCGGAAUCACUGGGCGUAAAGGGUGCGUAGGCGGAUCUUUAAGUCAGGGGUGAAAUCCUGGAGCUCAACUCCAGAACUGCCUUUGAUACUGGGGAUCUCGAGUCCGGAAGAGGUGAGUGGAACUCCGAGUGUAGAGGUGAAAUUCGUAGAUAUUCGGAAGAACACCAGUGGCGAAGGCGGCUCACUGGUCCGGUACUGACGCUGAGGUGCGAAAGCGUGGGGAGCAAACAGG
rnacentral:rRNA from 1 species